UACGUAGGGUGCAAGCGUUGUCCGGAAUUAUUGGGCGUAAAGAGCUCGUAGGCGGUUUGUCGCGUCGGCUGUGAAAACCUGGGGCUCAACCCCGGGCCUGCAGCCGAUACGGGCAAACUAGAGUUCGGCAGGGGAGACUGGAAUUCCUGGUGUAGCGGUGAAAUGCGCAGAUAUCAGGAGGAACACCGGUGGCGAAGGCGGGUCUCUGGGCCGAUACUGACGCUGAGGAGCGAAAGCGUGGGGAGCAAACAGG
rnacentral:rRNA from 1 species